GUUAUAUGGUCAAGCGAAUAAGCGCACACGGUGGAUGCCUUGGCGGUCAGAGGCGAUGAAGGACGUGGCAGCCUGCGAAAAGUAUCGGGGAGCUGGCAACAAGCUUUGAUCCGGUAAUGUCCGAAUGGGGAAACCCACCCGCUUGCGGGUAUCCUGCAGUGAAUACAUAGCUGCUGGAAGCGAACCUGGUGAACUGAAAUAUCUAAGUAACCAGAGGAAAAGAAAUCAACCGAGAUUCCGUAAGUAGCGACGAGCGAACGCGGACUAGCCCUUAAGCUGGAUUGGUUCUAGGAAAACGCUCUGGAAAGAGCGGCCAUAGAAGGUGAUAGCCCUGUAUCUGAAAGGGCCAUUCCAGUGAAGACGAGUAGGGCGGGGCACGUGAAACCCUGUCUGAACAUGGGGGGACCAUCCUCCAAGGCUAAAUACUACUGACCGACCGAUAGUGAACCAGUACCGUGAGGGAAAGGCGAAAAGAACCCCGGAGAGGGGAGUGAAAUAGAACCUGAAACCGUGUGCGUACAAGCAGUAGGAGCUCCGCAAGGAGUGACUGCGUACCUUUUGUAUAAUGGGUCAGCGACUUACUGUUCGUGGCAAGCUUAACCGUAUAGGGGAGGCGAAGGGAAACCGAGUCUGAUAAGGGCGCAUAGUCGCGGGCAGUAGACCCGAAACCGGGUGAUCUAGUCAUGCCCAGGGUGAAGGUGCGGUAACACGCACUGGAGGCCCGAACCCACUCCCGUUGCAAAGGUAGGGGAUGAGGUGUGAUUAGGAGUGAAAAGCUAAUCGAACCCGGAGAUAGCUGGUUCUCCUCGAAAGCUAUUUAGGUAGCGCCUCAUAUGUAUCCUCUCGGGGGUAGAGCACUGUUAUGGCUAGGGGGUCAUCGCGACUUACCAAACCAUUGCAAACUCCGAAUACCGAGACGGACUGUAUGGGAGACACACGGCGGGUGCUAACGUCCGUCGUGAAAAGGGAAACAACCCAGACCCACAGCUAAGGUCCCAAAUUUUGUGCUAAGUGGAAAACCAUGUGGAAAGGCACAGACAGCCAGGAGGUUGGCUUAGAAGCAGCCACCCUUUAAAGAAAGCGUAAUAGCUCACUGGUCGAGUCGGUCUGCGGGGAAGAUUUAACGGGGCUAAGCACAGAACCGAAGCUUGGGGUGCAUAACUUUGUUAUGCGCGGUAGAGGAGCGUUCCGUAAGCCGUUGAAGGUGGAUUGAGAAGUCUGCUGGAGGUAUCGGAAGUGCGAAUGCUGACAUGAGUAACGAUAAUGCGGGUGAAAAACCCGCACGCCGAAAGCCCAAGGUUUCCUUGCGCAACGUUAAUCGGCGCAGGGUGAGUCGGCCCCUAAGGCGAGGACGAAAGUCGUAGUCGAUGGGAAGCAGGUUAAUAUUCCUGCACCUCGCGUAAGUGCGAUGGAGGGACGGAGAAGGUUAGGUGUACCAGGCGUUGGUUGUCCUGGGGAAAGGCGGUAGGUUUGGAUCUUUGGCAAAUCCGGGAUCCUCUAAGACCGAGCACCGAGACGAGCCUUUAAGGCGAAGUCACUGAUACCACGCUUCCAGGAAAAGCUCCUAAGCUUCAGCUUACGCAGACCGUACCGUAAACCGACACAGGUGGGUAGGAUGAGAAUUCUCAGGCGCUUGAGAGAACUCGGGUGAAGGAACUAGGCAACAUGGCACCGUAACUUCGGGAGAAGGUGCACCCUUUUUGGUGGCUCGUGCGAGCUAUAGCUGAAGAGGGUCGCAGUAACCAGGCCGCUGCGACUGUUUAUCAAAAACACAGCACUCUGCAAACACGAAAGUGGACGUAUAGGGUGUGACGCCUGCCCGGUGCUGGAAGGUUAAUUGAUGGGGUCAGCCGCAAGGCGAAGCUCUUGAUCGAAGCCCCAGUAAACGGCGGCCGUAACUAUAACGGUCCUAAGGUAGCGAAAUUCCUUGUCGGGUAAGUUCCGACCUGCACGAAUGGCGUAACGACAGCGGCGCUGUCUCCACCCGAGACUCAGUGAAAUUGAAAUCGCUGUGAAGAUGCAGCGUUCCCGUGGCAAGACGGAAAGACCCCGUGAACCUUUACUAUAGCUUUACACUGAACGUUGAGUUCGUCUGUGUAGGAUAGGUGGGAGGCUAUGAAACUGUGGCGCUAGCUGCAGCGGAGCCAUCCUUGAAAUACCACCCUGUCGUGCUUGACGUUCUAACCUGGGCCCAUUAUCUGGGUCGGGGACCGUGUAUGGUGGGUAGUUUGACUGGGGCGGUCUCCUCCUAAAGAGUAACGGAGGAGCUCGAAGGUACGCUCAGCGCGGUCGGACAUCGCGCACUGUGUGCAAAGGCAUAAGCGUGCUUGACUGCAAGAUCGACGGAUCAAGCAGGUAGGAAACUAGGACUUAGUGAUCCGGUGGUUCUGUAUGGAAGGGCCAUCGCUCAACGGAUAAAAGGUACUCCGGGGAUAACAGGCUGAUACCGCCCAAGAGUUCAUAUCGACGGCGGUGUUUGGCACCUCGAUGUCGGCUCAUCACAUCCUGGGGCUGUAGUCGGUCCCAAGGGUAUGGCUGUUCGCCAUUUAAAGUGGUACGCGAGCUGGGUUCAGAACGUCGUGAGACAGUUCGGUCCCUAUCUGCCAUGGGCGUUGGAGAUUUGAGAGGGGCUGCUCCUAGUACGAGAGGACCGGAGUGGACGAACCUCUGGUGUUCCGGUUGUCACGCCAGUGGCAUUGCCGGGUAGCUAUGUUCGGAAGCGAUAACCGCUGAAAGCAUCUAAGCGGGAAGCGCGCCUCAAGAUGAGAUCUCCCGGGGCACAAGCCCCCUGAAGGAACCAUGUAGACUACGUGGUUGAUAGGUCAGGUGUGUAAGUACAGCAAUGUAUUGAGCUAACUGAUACUAAUGAUCCGUGCGGCUUGACCAUAUAACCU
rnacentral:rRNA from 1 species